CAGUCGCCGCGGGAACACCGAGGGUGCAAGCGUUAAUCGGAAUUACUGGGCGUAAAGCGCGCGUAGGUGGUUUGUUAAGUUGGAUGUGAAAGCCCCGGGCUCAACCUGGGAACUGCAUCCAAAACUGGCAAGCUAGAGUACGGUAGAGGGUGGUGGAAUUUCCUGUGUAGCGGUGAAAUGCGUAGAUAUAGGAAGGAACACCAGUGGCGAAGGCGACCACCUGGACUGAUACUGACACUGAGGUGCGAAAGCGUGGGGAGCAAACAGGAUUAGAUACCCCCGUAGUCCCUGUCUCUUAUAC
rnacentral:rRNA from 1 species